rfam:Salmo salar isolate Sally breed double haploid chromosome ssa15, whole genome shotgun sequence.
UGACUCAGUUGGUAGAGCAUGGUGUUUGCAAUGCCAGGGUUGUGGGUUCGAUUCCCAC